rnacentral:rRNA from 1 species
CCCAGACUCCUACGGGAGGCAGCAGUGGGGGAUAUUGCACAAUGGGGGGAACCCUGAUGCAGCGACGCCGCGUGGGUGAAGGAGCGUUUCGGCGCGUAAAGCCCUAUCGGCAGGGAAGAAGGAGGACGGUACCUGACUAAGAAGCCCCGGCUAACUACGUGCCAGCAGCCGCGGUAAUACGUAGGGGGCAAGCGUUAUCCGGAUUUACUGGGUGUAAAGGGGGCGCAGACGGCAGCGCAAGCCAGGAGUGAAAGCCCGGGGCCCAACCCCGGGACUGCUCUUGGAACUGCGCGGCUGGAGUGCAGGAGGGGCAGGCGGAAUUCCUGGUGUAGCGGUGAAAUGCGUAGAUAUCAGGAGGAACACCGGUGGCGAAGGCGGCCUGCUGGACUGCGACUGACGUUGAGGCCCGAAAGCGUGGGGAGCAAACAGGAUUAGAUACCCUGGUAG